CACAAGGGGUGAAGCCUGCGGUUCAAUUGGAGUCAACGCCGGAAAUCUUACCGGGGGCGACAGCAGAGUGAAGGUCAAGCUGAAGACUUUACCAGACAAGCUGAGAGGAGGUGCAUGGCCGUCGCCAGCUCGUGCCGUGAGGUGUCCUGUUAAGUCGGGUAACGAGCGAGAUCCCUAUCUCUAGUUGCUACUGCUGCUCUCAGGAGUAGUAGAGCUAAUUAGAGGGACCGCCGCCGCUGAGGCGGAGGAAGGAGGGGGCUACGGCAGGUCAGUAUGCCCCGAAACCCUCGGGCCACACGCGGGCUGCAAUGGUAAGGACAAUGGGUUCCUAUUCCGAAAGGAGGAGGCAAUCCCCAAACCUUACCCCAGUUAUGAUUGAGGGCUGAAACUCGCCCUCAUGAAUAUGGAAUCCCUAGUAACCGCGUGUCNUCAUCGCGCGGUGAAUACGUCCCUGCUCC
rnacentral:rRNA from 1 species